rnacentral:lncRNA from 1 species
CAAUAAUAGCUGUAAUUUUCUCUCCCUCUAUUUACAGGAAACAAACUCUUCCUUCCUGUCCUCUGCCUGUAGCAGAAAAUAGACAAGCCAAGCAGAUGUCCAGAGAUGGCGGAGGAGUACCUCGGCUGCAGCUUCCUUGAGAGAAAACAAACUCAAGGGAGCCUUGGGGGCUGGGGGCAACCAAGUCAUGAAGCAUUUUAUUUCA